rnacentral:rRNA from 1 species
ACCUGAAACCGUGUACGUACAAGCAGUGGGAGCCUCUUAAUGGGGUGACUGCGUACCUUUUGUAUAAUGGGUCAGCGACUUAUAUUCUGUAGCAAGGUUAACCGAAUAGGGGAGCCGAAGGGAAACCGAGUCUUAACUGGGCGUUAAGUUGCAGGGUAUAGACCCGAAACCCGGUGAUCUAGCCAUGGGCAGGUUGAAGGUUGGGUAACACUAACUGGAGGACCGAACCGACUAAUGUUGAAAAAUUAGCGGAUGACUUGUGGCUGGGGGUGAAAGGCCAAUCAAACCGGGAGAUAGCUGGUUCUCCCCGAAAGCUAUUUAGGUAGCGCCUCGUGAAUUCAUCUCCGGGGGUAGAGCACUGUUUCGGCAAGGGGGUCAUCCCGACUUACCAACCCGAUGCAAACUGCGAAUACCGGAGAAUGUUAUCACGGGAGACACACGGCGGGUGCUAACGUCCGUCGUGAAGAGGGAAACAACCCAGACCGCCAGCUAAGGUCCCAAAGUCAUGGUUAAGUGGGAAACGA